UUGCCCUACGGGAGGCAGCAGUAGGGAAUAUUGCUCAAUGGGGGAAACCCUGAAGCAGCAACGCCGCGUGGAGGAUGAAGGUUUUCGGAUUGUAAGCUCCUUUUGUUAGAGAAGAUAAUGACGGUAUCUAACGAAUAAGCACCGGCUAACUCCGUGCCAGCAGCCGCGGUAAUACGGAGGGUGCAAGCGUUACUCGGAAUCACUGGGCGGAAAGAGCGCGUAGGCGGGAUAGCAAGUCAGAUGUGAAAGCCUAUGGCUUAACCAUAGAGCUGGAUUUGAAACUGUUAUUCUAGAAUAUGGGAGAG
rnacentral:rRNA from 1 species